AUUGGUUAGAGUUCCUUCCAGCCAGAAAAAAUGGCAUCUAAGGUGUGACAGACUGGGUAAACAAAUGGCAGAAACCCAAACAUUUUAAAAGGAUCUAGGUGCCAGAGCCUUGGAAUCUAUCAGCUGGAGUCUGCCACAAAAUGGGCAAUGAAAAUGUACUUGGAGACAAAGGAUGAACAAAAAAGAAAGAAAAACACUCCACUAUUUUGCAAUAGAAU